UCAAGCAAAAAAGAGCGCAUGGUGGAUGCCUUGGCACUGGAAGCCGAAGAAGGACGUGAUAAGCUGCGAAAAGCGGCGGGGAGAAGCAAAUAUUCUGCGAUCCGCCGAUAUCCGAAUGGGGAAACCCAUCCAUGAAAACCAUGGAUAUGUAUAAGUAAAUACAUAGCUUAUACAAGGGAACCCGGGGAACUGAAACAUCUAAGUACCCGGAGGAAGAGAAAGAAACAUCGAUUUCCUGAGUAGCGGCGAGCGAAAGGGAAAGAGCCUAAACCGAGAUGCGUGCAUUUCGGGGUAAUGGACUACAAUAAGUGAGCAAAAAGAUAGAAGAACAGGCAGGAAAGCCUGGCCGAAGAAAGUGAAAGCCUUGUAUUCGAAAUCUGAAUUGCAGCGAGUAGUAUCCGGAGUACUGCGGGACACGAGAAACCCUGCAGGAAGUCGGGGGGACCACCCCCCAAGGCUAAAUACUAACCAGUGACCGAUAGCGUAUAGUACUGUGAAGGAAAGGUGAAAAGAACCCUGGGAAGGGAGUGAAAGAGAACCUGAAACCAUGUGUUUACAAACUGUGGAAGAACUAUUAAAAGUUCAACCGCGUACUUUUUGUAGAACGGUCCGGCGAGUCACGCCGGCUGGCAAGGUUAAGGACUAAAGGUCCGGAGCCGAAGGGAAACCAAGUCUUAAUAGGGCGAAGAGUCAGUCAGCGUGGACCCGAAACCGGGUGAUCUACCCAUGUCCAGGAUGAAGCUGCCGUAAGAGGUAGUGGAGGUCCGAACACACAUCCGUUGAAAAGGGUGGUGAUGAGGUGUGGGUAGGGGAGAAAUUCCAAUCGAACCCGGAGAUAGCUGGUUCUCCUCGAAAUAGCUUUAGGGCUAGCCUUCAGUUAGUCUGCCGCAGGUAGAGCACUGAAUUUCCUAGGGGGCGUCAAAGCCUACCGAAGAAUAUCAAACUCCGAAUGGCGGACAGAUGAUGCUGGGGAGUCAGACUGCACGAGAUAAGUUGGGUGGUCAAAAGGGAAAGAGCCCAGACCUACAGCUAAGGUCCCAAAGUACGUGUUAAGUGGAAAAGGAUGUGGGAUUUCAAAGACAGCUAGGAUGUUGGCUUAGAAGCAGCCAUACAUUAAAAGAGUGCGUAAUAGCUCACUAGCCGAGAGGUCCUGCGCCGAAAAUGUCCGGGGCUAAAACACGACACCGAAGCUUAGGAAUCAGAAAUGAUUGGUAGAGGAGCAUUCUUAAAUCAUCGAAGCUGUACCGAUAAGGAGCAGUGGAGGUUUAAGAAGAGAGAAUGCCGGAAUGAGUAGCGAGAAUGAAGUGAGAAUCUUCAUGGCCGAAUAUCCAAGGUUUCCAGGGUAAAGCUGAUCUGCCCUGGGUUAGUCGGGGCCUAAGGCGAGGCUGAGAAGCGUAGCUGAUGGACAACAGGUUGAAAUUCCUGUACUGCCUUAUAACAGAACUGUGGGGACACAUGUUCAGGUCGCGAGCCGGGAAAGGAAAGCCCGGCGCAAGCAGAGGUUAUCGGUGGGAGGCAAACCCCCCACAAAAGAGAAGACUGCGAUGCGGAGCGAAGAAAAGUAGCGAAGAGCGAUGAGAAUGUGUCGAGAAAAGCCGCUAUUGUUUAUAAGGUACCCGUACCGUAAACCGACACAGGUGGAUGAGGAGAGAAUCCUAAGGCCGGCGGGAGAAGCAUUGUUAAGGAACUCGGCAAAAUGACCCCGUAACUUCGGGAGAAGGGGUGCCCACGAAAGUGGGCCGCAGAGAAUAGGCUCAAGCAACUGUUUAGCAAAAACACAGGUCUAUGCAAAACCGUAAGGUGAGGUAUAUGGGCUGACGCCUGCCCGGUGCUGGAAGGUUAAGAGGAGAGGUUAACGAAAGUGAAGCUUUGAAUUUAAGCCCCAGUAAACGGCGGCCGUAACUAUAACGGUCCUAAGGUAGCGAAAUUCCUUGUCGGGUAAGUUCCGACCCGCACGAAAGGCGUAAUGAUUUGAGCACUGUCUCGACAA
rnacentral:rRNA from 1 species